rnacentral:rRNA from 1 species
AUACGGGAGGCAGCAGUGGGGAAUUGUUCGCAAUGGGCGCAAGCCUGACGACGCAACGCCGCGUGGAGGAUGAAGAUCUUCGGAUCGUAAACUCCUGUCGAGCGGGACGAACGGCCCGUGACCUAACACGUCGCGGGAGUGACGGUACCGCUAAAGGAAGCCCCGGCUAACUCCGUGCCAGCAGCCGCGGUAAUACGGGGGGGGCAAGCGUUGUUCGGAAUUACUGGGCGUAAAGGGCUCGUAGGCGGCCAACUAAGUCGGACGUGAAAUCCCUCGGCUCAACCGGGGAACUGCGUCCGAUACUGGAUGGCUUGAAUUCGGGAGAGGGAUGCGGAAUUCCAGGUGUAGCGGUGAAAUGCGUAGAUAUCUGGAGGAACACCGGUGGCGAAGGCGGCAUCCUGGACCGAGAUUGACGCUGAGGAGCGAAAGCCAGGGUAGCAAACGGGAUUAGAUACCCGUGUAGUCCA